GAUGAAUGCUGGCGGCGUGCCUAACACAUGCAAGUCGAGCGGUAACGGGUCUAGUUUACUAGAUGCCGACGAGCGGCGAACGGCUGAGUAACGCGUGGGAAUGUACCCCAAAGUGAGGAAUAACUGCCCGAAAGGGUAGCUAAUACCGCAUAUGGUCUUCGGAUUAAAGGGUGCACUCAUUUGGAUAAUAGAAUCUGUACUAAAAAGAGCCUAAUUUUGGCUAUAUUUUCUUCAUAACUUGUCAAAGUAUUAACAUACUUUUCCUCGUUGUUCAAAAAAUAUAACCUAAAAUUAGUCUACUUUCGUCAGUAUUCGAUUAUCCAAAUGAGUGCAAUCCGCUUUGGGAACAGCCUUGCGUACGAUUAGAUAGUUGGUAAGGUAAUGGCUUACCAAGUCUACGAUUCGUUAACUGGUUUUGAGAGGAUGAUCAGUCAGCUGGAACUGAGACACGGUCCAGACUCCUACGGGGCAGCAGUGGGAAUCUCCAAUGGGCAAG
rnacentral:rRNA from 1 species